AGUGAACGCUGGCGGUAGGCCUAACACAUGCAAGCCGAACGGCAGCACAGUAAGAGCUUGCUCUUACGGGUGGCGAGUGGCGGACGGGUGAGGAAUACAUCGGAAUCUACUUUUUCGUGGGGGAUAACGUAGGGAAACUUACGCUAAUACCGCAUACGACCUACGGGUGAAAGCAGGGGAUCUUCGGACCUUGCGCGAUUGAAUGAGCCGAUGUCGGAUUAGCUAGUUGGCGGGGUAAAGGCCCACCAAGGCGACGAUCCGUAGCUGGUCUGAGAGGAUGAUCAGCCACACUGGAACUGAGACACGGUCCAGACCCCUACGGGAGGCAGCAGUGGGGAAUAUUGGACAAUGGGCGCAAGCCUGAUCCAGCCAUACCGCGUGGGUGAAGAAGGCCUUCGGGUUGUAAAGCCCUUUUGUUGGGAAAGAAAAGCAGCAGGUUAAUACCCCGCUGUUCUGACGGUACCCAAAGAAUAAGCACCGGCUAACUUCGUG
rnacentral:rRNA from 1 species